ensembl:ncRNA B0334.16 ncRNA
CGGUAUAUGUGCUUUUCGCAAAGGACUUUUGUUUGUUUGUUUGUGUAAGUGAGUCGGAUAUUCGGA